GUUUCCAAAAUGCUCCCUCGCCAAACGUGCUUGGCGGGGGGGGAUAGAGAGUGAACGGCUGCCGGUCCUGGGCUCGGCUGGCGGCUGGAUUUGGCCCACGUCAGAGAGAUAUCGCUCGUCGUGGGCCGCGGUAGAUGAGGUCAUAAAUCCAAGUGUAAAUAAGGCAUCGCCUAGCUUCCGAACAGUUCCCCCUCCUGCGGGGGCAGCUGCUGUUCCUGGCCUCUAGCAACUUUCUAAACACUCUCAGCUAAUGGGAGGGGAUCACAGCACACAAGUUGUGAGUGAGGGGGGCCUUGGUAAAGGGCUACUGACCUGGGAGUUUCGGCAAACACAACUGAGGAAGGAGAAACGGUACGAGGAUACCUACAGAAGUUAACUGCAAGAAAGACAGAGAGUUUGUUCUAGAGGCUGGAGGAGACAGCUGUGACUGUGGACCUGACUGCCCGGAGUGUGUGGCAUUCCAUUCACCACCCCUGUUCCCCCCGUCAGUAAAGUGUGGAAUAAGGUGUCUUAAUCCUUUGCCUCAGGUGUAUUUGACAGCUCACUUAGGUGACUGAUAUG